CCUACGGGAGACUGCAGUGGGGAAUAUUGCACAAUGGGGGAAACCCUGAUGCAGCGACGCCGCGUGAGUGAAGAAGUAAUUCGUUAUGUACAGCUCUAUCAGCAGGGAAGAAAAUGACGGUACCUGAGUAAGAAGCCGCGGCUCACUACGUGCCAGCAGCCGCGGUAAUACGUAGGGGGCAAGCGUUAUCCGGAUUUACUGGGGGGAAAGGGAGCGUAGACGGGAGUGCAAGUCUGGAGUGAAAGGCGGGGGCUCAACCCCCGGACUGCUCUGGAAACUGUACGGCUGGAGUGCAGGAGAGGUAAGUGGAAUUCCUAGUGUAGCGGUGAAAUGCGUAGAUAUUAGGAGGAACACCAGUGGCGAAGGCGGCUUACUGGACUGUAACUGACGUUGAGGCUCGAAAGCGUGGGGAGCAAACAGGAUUAGAUACCCCUGUAGUC
rnacentral:rRNA from 1 species